rnacentral:rRNA from 1 species
CAUGGGUGAUAAGGUCCGUGUUCGAAAGGGAAACAGCCCAGACCACCAGCUAAGGUCCCAAAAUAUAUGUUAAGUGGAAAAGGAUGUGGCGUUGCCCAGACAACUAGGAUGUUGGCUUAGAAGCAGCCAUCAUUUAAAGAGUGCGUAAUAGCUCACUAGUCGAGUGACACUGCGCCGAAAAUGUACCGGGGCUAAACAUAUUACCGAAGCUGUGGAUUGUCCUUUGGACAAUGGUAGGAGAGCGUUCUAAGGGCGUUGAAGCAUGAUCGUAAGGACAUGUGGAGCGCUUAGAAGUGAGAAUGCCGGUGUGAGUAGCGAAAGACGGGUGAGAAUCCCGUCCACCGAUUGACUAAGGUUUCCAGAGGAAGGCUCGUCCGCUCUGGGUUAGUCGGGUCCUAAGCUGAGGCCGACAGGCGUAGGCGAUGGAUAACAGGUUGAUAUUCCUGUACCACCUAUAAUCGUUUUAAUCGAUGGGGGGACGCAGUAGGAUAGGCGAAGCGUGCGAUUGGAUUGCACGUCUAAGCAGUAAGGCUGAGUAUUAGGCAAAUCCGGUACUCAUUAAGGCUGAGCUGUGAUGGGGAGAAGACAUUGUGUCUUCGAGUCGUUGAUUUCACACUGCCGAGAAAAGCCUCUAGAUAGAAAAUAGGUGCCCGUACCGCAAACCGACACAGGUAGUCAAGAUGAGAAUUCUAAGGUGAGCGAGCGAACUCUCGUUAAGGAACUCGGCAAAAUGACCCCGUAACUUCGGGAGAAGGGGUGCUCUUUAGGGUUAACGCCCAGAAGAGCCGCAGUGAAUAGGCCCAAGCGACUGUUUAUCAAAAACACAGGUCUCUGCUAAACCGUAAGGUGAUGUAUAGGGGCUGACGCCUGCCCGGUGCUGGAAGGUUAAGAGGAGUGGUUAGCUUCUGCGAAGCUACGAAUCGAAGCCCCAGUAAACGGCGGCCGUAACUAUAACGGUCCUAAGGUAGCGAAAUUCCUUGUCGGGUAAGUUCCGACCCGCACGAAAGGCGUAACGAUUUGGGCACUGUCUCAACGAGAGACUCGGUGAAAUCAUAGUACCUGUGAAGAUGCAGGUUACCCGCGACAGGACGGAAAGACCCCGUGGAGCUUUACUGUAGCCUGAUAUUGAAAUUCGGCACAGCUUGUACAGGAUAGGUAGGAGCCUUUGAAACGUGAGCGCUAGCUUACGUGGAGGCGCUGGUGGGAUACUACCCUAGCUGUGUUGGCUUUCUAACCCGCACCACUUAUCGUGGUGGGAGACAGUGUCAGGCGGGCAGUUUGACUGGGGCGGUCGCCUCCUAAAAGGUAACGGAGGCGCUCAAAGGUUCCCUCAGAAUGGUUGGAAAUCAUUCAUAGAGUGUAAAGGCAUAAGGGAGCUUGACUGCGAGACCUACAAGUCGAGCAGGGUCGAAAGACGGACUUAGUGAUCCGGUGGUUCCGCAUGGAAGGGCCAUCGCUCAACGGAUAAAAGCUACCCCGGGGAUAACAGGCUUAUCUCCCCCAAGAGUUCACAUCGACGGGGAGGUUUGGCACCUCGAUGUCGGCUCAUCGCAUCCUGGGGCUGUAGUCGGUCCCAAGGGUUGGGCUGUUCGCCCAUUAAAGCGGUACGCGAGCUGGGUUCAGAACGUCGUGAGACAGUUCGGUCCCUAUCCGUCGUGGGCGUAGGAAAUUUGAGAGGAGCUGUCCUUAGUACGAGAGGACCGGGAUGGACAUACCUCUGGUGUACCAGUUGUCGUGCCAACGGCAUAGCUGGGUAGCUAUGUGUGGACGGGAUAAGUGCUGAAAGCAUCUAAGCAUGAAGCCCCCCUCAAGAUGAGAUUUCCCAACUUCGGUUAUAAGAUCCCUCAAAGAUGAUGAGGUUAAUAGGUUCGAGGUGGAAGCAUGGUGACAUGUGGAGCUGACGAAUACUAA